rnacentral:rRNA from 1 species
UACGGAGGGUGCAAGCGUUAUCCGGAAUCACUGGGUUUAAAGGGUGCGUAGGCGGUGGCGUAAGUCAGUCGUGAAAUACUUCGGCUCAACCGACAGAACUGCGAUUGAUACUGUGUCACUUGAAUCAGGAUGAGGCAGGCGGAAUGUGGCAUGUAGCGGUGAAAUGCUUAGAUAUGCCAUAGAACACCGAUUGCGAAGGCAGCUUGCUGGGCCUGCAUUGACGCUGAGGCGCGACAGCGUGGGGAGCAAACAGG